rnacentral:rRNA from 1 species
UACGAACCGUACAACCGUUGUUCGGAAUCACUGGGCUUAAAGGGUGCGUAGGCGGCCAUGUAAGUGAGGUGUGAAAUCCCUCGGCUCAACCGAGGAACUGCGCUUCAUACUGCAUGGCUUGAGGGAGACAGGGGUAAGCGGAACUGAUGGUGGAGCGGUGAAAUGCGUUGAUAUCAUCAGGAACACCGGUGGCGAAAGCGGCUUACUGGGUCUCUUCUGACGCUGAGGUACGAAAGCUAGGGUAGCGAACGGG